CUCCUCUUUACCUACCACCUGAUUUCACAAAGCUUGGGAGGUCCCCGCUCUUCCAUGUGCCUCAGGAAUAGCGAAAGGCUUCGAGAGUGCAACUCUGUGACCAUAUUUGAAUUGGAGCAUGCUACAGUGUGUCUGAACAGCCCUCUGCAGACUUUUUUUGAUCUGCUCCUGACCUUUGUUUUUAUCUCUGCAUCUCACCCUGAAGCUAACAUUAAGUGCAACAGAAGCCAGGUCUACUUGAGCAAACCCACACAGAAGUCAGAGGGCUUCCUUGGAGAGUUGGCUGCUGGCUCACAAGGACUUCCCUCAGGAAAAGAAAACAAGCAGAUUCUAGAGAAGUCUCACCAAAGGUGUGGAUACUCAGGACCAUGAAUAUUUGUGGCUUGACCUUCCUUAAUCUCAAGCAGCAGAUUCCUCAGAAUAAUUUACAGUGACAGAGAAGGAAAGAUGACAGCAUUUGAUCUUUUGCUUUACUGUGGAAAAGCAGAGCAUAUGGCAAUACAGAAAGCACAUUUUCUGCUCUGCCUGUCUGCUAGUACCACUGUAAGAAACCAAAUUCAUCAAAUUAUAGCCUCGUGUAUCAUGUAUUAAACUGACUUUGCAGGGGAGGCAAAAGGGAAAGAAGGAACAGAGCUGGUUUCAAGCUUGUCUGUCCUCAUGACAUAAAAAAAAAAAAUAAAAGAGGGAAAAAACCUCUUUUAGUUAUUUUU
rnacentral:lncRNA from 1 species